GGAGUCUGGGCCGUGUCUCAGUCCCAAUGUGGCCGUUCAUCCUCUCAGACCGGCUACUGAUCGUUGCCUUGGUGGGCCGUUACCUCGCCAACUAGCUAAUCAGUCGCGGGCCCAUCCUAUACCACCGGAGUUUUUCCUACCGUGUCAUGCGACUCUGUAGGCUUAUGCGGUUUUAGCGUACAUUUCUAUACGUUAUCCCCCUGUAUAGGGUAGGUUACCCACGUGUUACUCACCCGUCCGCCGCUAAGCUUCUUCGGCGCUCCGUUCGUAGCAAGCUACUUACUUUGCAAUGAAAAAGCUCCGCUCGACUUGCAUGUGUUAAGCGUGCCGCCAGCGUUCAUC
rnacentral:rRNA from 1 species